GCAAACUUGGUCAUUUAGAGGAAGUAAAAGUCGUAACAAGGUUUCCGUAGGUGAACCUGCGGAAGGAUCAUUACAGAGUAAACUUGAUAGGUUGUUGCUGGCUCAACAUUGGGCAUGUGCACACUUGUCAUUUUUAUCUUUCCACCAUGUGCACUCCGCAUAGAGUCUGAGAAUCAGAGUUUACUCUGAUGUUUUUGAGAACUGCUGCUUGCAAAAGUCAGCUUUUCUUGUUUUCAGACUCUAUGAUUUGAUAUACACCAAUGUAUGUUGAAGAACGUUUUAAAGGCCUUACAAGCCUAUAAAUUUAAUACAACUUUCAGCAACGGAUCUCUUGGCUCUCGCAUCGAUGAAGAACGCAGC
rnacentral:misc_RNA from 1 species